CACGUAGGGCGCAAGCGUUGUCCGGAAUUAUUGGGCGUAAAGAGCUCGUAGGCGGUUUGUCGCGUCUGCCGUGAAAGUCCGGGGCUCAACUCCGGAUCUGCGGUGGGUACGGGCAGACUAGAGUGAUGUAGGGGAGACUGGAAUUCCUGGUGUAGCGGUGAAAUGCGCAGAUAUCAGGAGGAACACCGAUGGCGAAGGCAGGUCUCUGGGCAUUAACUGACGCUGAGGAGCGAAAGCAUGGGGAGCGAACAGG
rnacentral:rRNA from 1 species